CUGUCUUUAUCGCUGAAUCCUUUUUGCAACGCAGGAGCGGGGGAACCGAGCGGAUUUUCCGUGUGAGCGGAAUCCAUGGGGUGAAUCCUUAGGGCUGCAUUGACCUUGACGAAAGUAGGUUUAUGCAGCUCCAAGGAAGGGCGACUCUGACGCCCGAAUCCGGCAGCUAACCUCGUAAGCGUAUUUUAGAGAGGCA
rnacentral:sRNA from 1 species